GCAGACACAUUCCAGCCAAUCAGCAGCAGACCCUCCCUCCCAGAUCCUUCCAUCUCCUCCCAUCUCCUGGACAGCUCACUAAGAAUGCAGCUUCAAAAUGGAUGCUGUCCAGGAGGUGGGAGGGUCUGGGAGGGAGGGUCUGCUGCUGAUUGGCUGGAAUGUGUCUG